rnacentral:rRNA from 2 species
GGAUGUGAUCAUACCAGCACUAAAGCACCGGAUCCCAUCAGAACUCCAAAGUUAAGCGUGCUUGGGCGAGGGUAGUACUAGGAUGGGUGACCUCCUGGGAAGUCCUCGUGUUGCAUUCC